AACGAACGCUGGCGGCAAGCCUAAUACAUGCAAGUCGAACGGGUAAGUGCUGUAGCAAUACAGAUUACUGCUAGUGGCAGACGGGUGAACAACACGUGGGAAUCUACCAUAAGGUACGGGACAACAGCGGGAAACUGCUGCUAAUACCGUAUGUGCUCGAGAGAGGAAAGGAGCAAUUCGCCUUAUGAUGAGCCCGCGCCUGAUUAGCUAGUUGGAGGGUAACGGCCUACCAAGGCAACGAUCAGUAGCUGGUCUGAGAGGACGACCAGCCACACUGGGACUGAGAUACGGCCCAGACUCCUACGGGAGGCAGCAGUAGGGAAUAAUUGGACAAAUGGAGGGAAACUCUUGAUCCAGCUAUGCCGCGUGAGUGAAGAAGGCC
rnacentral:rRNA from 1 species